rnacentral:rRNA from 1 species
GACGAACGCUGGCGGCGUGCUUAACACAUGCAAGUCGAACGAUGAACCCGGAGCUUGCUCCGGUGGAUUAGUGGCGAACGGGUGAGUAACACGUGAGUAACCUGCCCUUGACUCUGGGAUAACUGCGGGAAACUGUAGCUAAUACCGGAUACGACCCUCGGCGGCAUCGCCAGGGGGUGGAAAGAAUUUCGGUCAAGGAUGGACUCGCGGCCUAUCAGCUAGUUGGUGAGGUAACGGCUAACCAAGGCGACGACGGGUAGACGGCCUGAGAGGGUGACCUGGCAAGCUGGGAAGGAGACACGGCCCAGACUCCAACGGGGAGCAGCAGUGGGGAAAAUUGCACAGUGGGCGCAAGCCGGAUGCAGCAACGCAGCGUGAGGGAUGACGGCCUUCGGGUUGUAAACCUCUUUUAGUAGGGAAGAAGCGAAAGUGACGGUACCUGCAGAAAAAGCACCGGCUAACUACGUGCCAGCAGCCGCCGUAA